rnacentral:misc_RNA from 1 species
UCCGGCUCUAACGGUGAGCUAUUGAUAAAAUAUUUAGUUCAGGAUUUUCUCAGUUUUUCGAUUUCAUUCGUCAUAUCUACUCUGCGAUACCUUUUUCUUCAUUCCUUAUUUAGUAGCUCCCUUUUUAACUUCACCAAAUCUAUUGGGAUAUAUAUGUCAAAUAAAACAACUGGCUUAGUAAAAUGGUUUAACGAAUUGAAAGGCUUCGGAUUUAUCACACCAGAUAAUGGUAGUGCGGAUCUGUUUGUUCACUUCAGAUCAAUCGCCAGCGACGGCUUCAAAACAUUAGCCGAAGGUCAAAAAGUCUCCUUUGACGUAGAGCAAAGUAGCAAAGGCCCGCAAGCAGCCAACGUUACAGUAUUGUAAGUUCUUCUGUCAGAACAGAAUGCGGGCAGAAAAACGAUG